AGGGCGACGUGUCGCUGUUCCCGGCGGCUGCGUCGCCAUUGCCGAAGGUUUGGAAGGAGCGCCCGGCUGAGAGCCAUCGGUGGACCUCAUCACUCGGUGGCGUCGAGAAAGCUUGCUUCCCUCCUCUUUAAUUUUUGCGGCACCGCAACCCAGGAAAAUCUAGGGUUUGGCAAUAUCCAGAAUUUUGAUUUGAUUUUCCUGUGGUUUUUUCCUAGCUUGGAGGGUGAAGUGUGGGAUGUUAGGUUUCACCUAGAUGGAAAAGAUAAUUUGGAGAAGAAACUAAGCAAAUCUUACAUUACAUAUACCAAUAUGCUAGCAAUGUUAGAGAUACGGGGAUAUGGCCGGGGUUACAGCAUGUACUAUGUAAAAGAAGAGGGCACAGGCAUAGAAGGGAUGGCACUCAUCAACAGCAUGAUUGACGUUGAAGAAAUGCUGGAACUGUAUAAGGAUGCCGGAUGUGUUUCCAUUACUGUAACCAAGGGUGAAUCAGGUCUGCCUGCAGAUAUAAACAGGAAACAAUGUGAAGAACAAAUUCCUAUAUCUGAAAUAGGAGUGCCUGUUGUUUAUUCAGUAGACAUGCAGGGUGUGCUGACUACAAAAUACCACUUAGUACAUGCUAUUCCUAUAUCUGUAAUGUAUGAGGAUUGUCUGUCGAUUCAAAAAACCCAGGAUCCAGUGAUUACAAAAGGUUCAGAUGAUGAUAUGUACUCUAGAACCACCGGGUCACAAAGUUUUCAAACUCCAACGAAGGAUUCAGAGUACAAUUAUGUAGAUGUUGAGCAUACUGAUAAUUUAGACAAAAAGAAGAGGAAACUUGUUUCUCCAUCUGACGCCACGUCAACAAAGAGACCAAAACAUACUGCAAGAGAUCAUCGCGAGUCUGUGGCAUAGUAUAGACCAAAGAAGUUCAAACACCAAUGCAAAGCAAAAAGACUGUACAACCUCCUAGUGACAUCAAACAAAUUUGCAUCGUAAGUAAUUUAUCAUGCACUGCAUAAUGUUCAUAUCUUCCACUUGUUAAUUUUAACCUUUUGGAUUUCCUUGCAGAACUGAGGUAUUCAAUGCACCAGUUAUGCACAGUGCUAUUCCUGACUUCAAUGUACCAAACGAUGGGGCUGACAUUGCUAGACAAUUUAGUAGUGGUCAGUUACUGGAUGGUACUACAUUGGACCACAUCAUUGACGAGAUGAGGAGUACCUCCGAUUUGUACGCUACUGGAGAAAGAGUGUUGUUAAGCCCAGGAUUUAUCAUGCAUGUUCUCCAGGUGGGUAUUUGGAAUCAGACAAAAGAACAAAUAGAAGAAGCCUCUCAAAAAAGGGAUCAAACAUUUAACUACAAAAAAGAUUUCGAUCUGCAAACUGCACUGGACACUUUCCCUAGAUAUGUUGACAAAGAAAAGAGCCUUCUUGACGCAAAACUUAUAUUGAUGCCGUGCUUCAAAAGUUAUCACUAUACUUUGUAUGUGAUGAACAAAUACAAAAAAGAAUUCGAAAUAUUGGACUCUAGAAACUAUGCUGACACAAAGGGAUGUACUCCACUGUAUACAAGGAGCACAUACCAUACGGAAUGCGAUAUCAUAGUAAGUAGAGAAUAAUUUUCCAUGCUUUCAAAAUAAUAAUAUUUGUUGUUGUGGAUCAUUAGUUUGGAAUCAUUUAUUUCCUGAUUCCUACAGAUGGCAAGGAUGGAACUUCUGCUCAAAACAGUAUAUGGUUUAGACGCAUACAAUGCAAGUAAUCAACCAAAAAGAUGGGUUUCCCUUGCAAACAAGCCAAUAUAUAUCAGGUGCCCACACCAAGGAGUAAAUCAGUGCGCAUUUUACUGUUUGAUGGGUGCGUACCUAUACGAUGGAAAGGUUCUGUUGGGUAAAAGGGAAGGAUAUCAGCCAAUUCUAAAUGAUCACGUAAGUGUUAGUGAACUACACAUUGUUAGUAAGAUACAGUGUUUAUAAGAUAUGCAGUAACUACUAUUGUCUUCGUCCAUUCCAGCCCUUUAUAAAUGACAUUAAAGCUGAGUAUCUGUACAUCUUAAUAUUCACCGUGCACAACAAGGCCAAUUUGCCAGAGGAAAUCCUAGAAUUAAAACCCCCAUGCUCAUUUUAUGAGUGAAGAAAUCAUAGUAAGAAUGUUCACAUGUUCAAAACUGAUUUUUCAUAAAACAAUUAAAUCUCUCAUAUAUUUAUUAACUUGUUAUUCAUUGUUGCCUACUAUAUUUUGAAGCACAUCCCCUAUGGUGAAUGGUGGAGCACUACACAUGAAUCGUAUGUGUCGGUUCAUUUCCUCGAAUACCUUUUGAUGCUGUUUUGGUGAACUUGAAUACAUUGUGAUGAUCUUAGAUCUUAGUACUUGUGUUGGACCUUCAUCGUGUACUGUAAACCUAUAUCGUGUAGAACUUUGUAUACACUAUA